rnacentral:rRNA from 1 species
UACGUAGGUGGCAAGCGUUGUCCGGAUUUAUUGGGUUUAAAGGGUGCGUAGGCGGCUUUGUAAGUCAGUGGUGAAAUACUCUAGCUUAACUAGAGGGGUGCCAUUGAUACUGCGGAGCUUGAGUACAGAUGAGGUAGGCGGAAUUGACGGUGUAGCGGUGAAAUGCAUAGAUAUCAGGAAGAACACCCGUGGCGAAGGCGGCUCUCUGGAACGCAACUGACGCUGAGACGCGAAAGCGUGGGGAGCAAACAGG